rnacentral:rRNA from 1 species
CUACGGGGGGCUGCAGUGAGGGAUUUUGCGCAAUGGGGGAAACCCUGACGCAGCAACGCCGCGUGAGUGAAGAAGGCCCCUGGGUCGUAAAGCUCUGUCAACAGGGAAGAAGUUACUUUGUAUUAAUAGUAUGAGGUAUUGACGGUACCUGUGAAGGAAGCACCGGCUAACUCCGUGCCAGCAGCCGCGGUAAUACGGGGGGUGCAAGCGUUAUUCGGAAUUAUUGGGCGUAAAGGGCACGCAGGCGGUCCUGUCAGUCAGAUGUGAAAGCCCGGGGCUCAACCCCGGACGUGCAUUUGAAACAGCAGGACUUGAGUACGGGAGAGGAAAGGGGAAUUCCUGGUGUAGAGGUGAAAUUCGUAGAUAUCAGGAGGAACACCGGUGGCGAAGGCGCCUUUCUGGACCGAUACUGACGCUGAGGUGCGAAGGCGUGGGUAGCGAACGGGAUUAGAUACCCGCGUAGUC